UUCCUACUCCCUCCGUUUCAUAAUUCUUGUCGAAAUAUUACAUAUAUCUAUCUAGACGCUUUUUAGGAAUAGAUACAUCCAAUUUUAGGCAAAUUUGAGACAAGAAUUAUGAAACGGAAGGAGUACAAU
rfam:Brachypodium distachyon strain Bd21 chromosome 1, whole genome shotgun sequence.